UAGCGGAGGAGGAGGAGGAGGAGGAGGAGGAAGAGGAGGAGGAGGAGGAGGAGAGAGAGGCUUCAUGGGGAGGAGGAGACAGUCGGCACCAGCAGAUAAAGGGACCAAGGGCGUGGAUGGGACUCAUUAUCUGCCUCGAGGAUCAGCGUUGGAUGACAGGAUGCGGGCUGAGGUGUCCGGGGACCAAAUGCUGGACCUCCUCGAGAAGAUGGCCAAGUACCGCAUUGAUGACCAGAGAUGCUCGCUGCCACACCCCGUCCUCUACCAGUCUCAGCAGGGCGUGCGGGAGGGCCCAGGCAAACCGCCCCCCGACAAGGAGGAGCCGUCGGCCAAGGCAUCGAGUAGAGCCCGCCUGGAGAAGACCCUGGAGGGACCCCCGCCCUACAGACAGGUGGUGUUAGCGCCCCUCUCGAAGGACUACUGGGAUGAGACGCCGGCGGAGGGGGGUGGAGGGGAGCUGGACUGCACCACCACCACCACCACCUCCACCACCACCACCUCCUCCUCCAGCAACCACAGCAUCAACAACAACUCCGUCAGCAUCAACAACAACAACCUCAAUAACAACAACAACAACAAUAGCAACAAGUUUGAGACGGAUGAGUCGGCAACCUACUACAGACGAUUCUUCCUCGGCAAGGAGCACUGGAACUUCUACGGUGUCGACGCUGUGCAGGGCCCGGUGUUGGUGAGCCAGCGUCGGGAGGUGGUCGGCAGCCAAGAGCUUGUGCAUCUGCUGGUGAGGCUGGGCGACGGGCUGCACCACGCCUCCCUCCCCGCCGCCGGACAGGACCUCAGACCCGCCGCACUCGUCAAGCGCGUGAAGGAGCUAGCCGUGGAGAGGUUCAGCCCCGUGGUGUCCCCCGUGGCGCCCCAGCUCAUCGUGGCCUAUGACGAACACGCUCUCAAGCACCAGUUCAAGUUCGGCCUGAUCGUGCAGCGCUUCGGCCAGACGGUGGAGGAGCAGCUCUUCGCCAACAAGGGCAUGUCACCCGCCCUCGAGCAGUUCCUGAGUCUCAUGGGCCGCCGUGUGAAGCUGAGGGAGCAUGAGGGCUUCAAGGGCGGCCUGGACACCCAAUUCGGCCAGACGGGGGAGGAGAGUGUGUACGAGGUGUUCCGGGAGAAGGAGGUGAUGUUCCACGUGUCCACGCUGCUGCCCUACAAGGAGCAGGACCCGCAGCAGCUGGAGAGGAAGAGGCACAUCGGCAACGACAUGGUGGCGGUGGUCUUCCAGGAGGAGAACACGCCCUUCGCGCCCGACAUGGUGGCAUCGCACUUCCUGCACGCCUAUGUGGUGGUGAUGCCCAUUGACCCCUGCACGCCGAACACCAGGUAUAAGGUGAGCGUCACAGCGAGAAGAGACGUCCCCUUCUUUGGCCCCACGCUGCCAUCCUCCGCCACCUUCUCCCACGGGCCGCAGUUCAAGGAGUUUCUGCUCACCAAGCUCAUCAACGCCGAGAUGGCCUGUUACAAGGCUAGCCAGUUCGCCAAGCUGGAGGCUCGCACUCGCAGCUCCCUCCUCGCCGCUCUCGUUGAUGACCUACGCGCCAAGACCAACGAGUUCCUGGGUCAGGCCGAGGUUCCCGAGACGCCCAAGGUGGAAACGACAAGUAACAGGUUCAAGGAGAUCGUGGCGGGGCUGAUCGGGCGCAGCAGAAGCCAGGACGCCACCAACACACAGUCCGUCAAGAAGUCCGGAGUGACCGCCACGCCCUCAACCCUGCUGGCCACUACCCCCCUGAGUGUCCGCAGCAAGGGCAGCGGCGGCAGCAGUGAGGCACGGACGCCCCCCUCCAGUCCCGACACCACCCCCAACACCCACUUGGCACUGUCCGAGAGCGACGAUUCCUCCCUCAACUCGGACAUCGACAACCACCCACACCCUCUCAACGAGGACUCCGACACCGGCCUAGAGUCCAUGUCCUCCGCCGAGACACCCCAUAAUGUGGCGGUUGCGUGUCCCCUCUGUGGCGGGCAGGAGGAGGGCGCGGGCGGCUUCCAUGCCAACCCCGAGGCGGUCUUGAGGCAGGUGGAGGCGCUCAACCAGGAGAUCAACAAGCUCAAGUGUGACAAGCUGGACCUACUGCGGCAGAAUGUGACGUGCCAGCGUGAUAUCAAGAAACUCAAGGAAAAGGAGCUCAAGGUUGGGAGUGAGCUCAUGGCCGCCACCAAGGAGAUCACGAGGCUCCAGGGUCUGUUGAGUGAGUUCGGGACAGGCCAGGUGUCUACGGUGUGAGGGAAAGGGCGGGCCGGGUGUGGCUUGUUCGUCCCUUCCUCCCCGGGUGACCUUGUUGCGUGGAGCUGAGGUCAGGGUACUGCGUGUGUCGAGAGGUCAGAGAGGUGUGCGUGUCACCCUCCAGCACCUCUCCUUGUCCCUCUUCCUCCCUCUCCCCACGGUGAAUGGAACGGAACGGCUGUCGAUCAUGUCUAGUUAUGUGAUUUUUCCUCCUGUCUUUCAUCCUCAGUGCUCAGUGUCUUUCCAUGUCUCGCUAUGUUAUGUCCAAUGCUUCCGUUUCACUCUCUCAUGUAUCUGAUUUAGCCUCCGUCUUCUCCACACAGCCUCACUUGUAUCCUUUUUAGCUCACACCCUUCCCUUAGUCAUCUCCUCUUCACCUCCUCUAUUGAUCGACAUAAACGGUGUUGUGUGUGCGUCGCGUCACGAGGGAGAGGCCAGAGCGUGUUGUGUGCAUGUGUGUGUAUGAUUCGCUUGUCUGUCACCUCUUUCACACUGGCCAAAGAUGAUACCAAAGUGUGUAUAUAUAUGUUGCGGUACAGACCAGUGUGGCUGAGAGAGAGAAAACCUAUGUAAGUGAGGGUGACUAUUAUAAAAACCGUGAUGACCAAGUUGAUUGAGGAGACUUGUGGGACGGUGACAACUGUGAAUGCGAUUAUCUCCCUUCCCUCCCUUUCCUCCCCCUGUUUCCGAAAUCAAGGACCUGCGGCUGGUUUGAUUCCCCCGCCGCGAACAAAAAAGACAGUGUGCAGCAUUUAUCCUCUUGUUCAAAAAGAGAAAAUGAUGAAAAAAAUGUAGGUAUGCCCGUUACCUAAGUACUCCCUCGCCCCCUUCACGCCUUCCCUCCCCUCACCCAAGCCUCACCUCAUGUAACAAAAGGUGAGAUUUAUGUUGUCACCUUAUGUACAUUGAUUCUUAUUGUGCUUGUUUCCUGUCAAGAGACGCACACUACACUAUUACACACACACACACACGCACAUACACACAAGUACAAACACACAAACACACACACACAAACAGACAUACACACAAACACAUUUCCCAGCUUGUUAUACCAAAUAUGUAGUUUUAAGUUUGACUCGAGAGGAAUCCUGUGUCCUUCGCCAAGUUCAGUCAUUCCCAAAUUUGUAUGAUAUUCCUGCCUUACGAGUGUCCUAUCACCCGCAUCCUGUUCCCUGCAUCCUGUCGUCCAUCCUGUGAUUGUGCCGACGGAUAAAGGGCAGCACCGAGACCCAUUAAGUGUUGCAUAUAUUUACAGCAAAGUGGAGGAUCAUGGUUCUUCUUCUUCAUGCUCCGUUUUCUGUGGCAUUGAAGAAGAUGUGUGUUUCGAUGGAGGACUUGUUUGUACGUCAGUGUUCUCGAGGAGUUGUAUAUGUGUGUGUGUAUAGUUUUCUGUCAUGGGUCCAAACCACUAGGAACUCCUUUUGGGGGGUCUAGAAUGAGGAGGUCUUGUCACGGUGAGCUUUAAAAAUACCUUUGGAAAUAAGUAUAACCAACACAUUUCUCGUCAAGCGUAAGGAGCGUUUUCCACGUCAUUUAAAGGAACUUGCACUGUGACUCCAUUUUUGGGGGUCUAGAAUGAGGAGGUUUUGUCACGGUAAGCUUUAAAAAUACCUUUGGAAAUAUAUAACGCAAACUCGUCAAGCGUAAGGAGCGUUUUCCACAUCAUUUAAAGGAACUUGUACAGUGACUCCAUUUUAGGAGGUCUAGAAUGAGGAGGUCUUGUCUUGGUGAACUUUAAAAAUACCUUUGGAAAUAAGUAUAACCAACACAUUUCUCGUCAAGCGUAAGGAGCGUUUUCCACAUCAUUUAAAGGAACUUGUACUGACUCCAUUUUAGGAGGUCUAGAAUGAGGAGGUUUUGUCUUGGUGAGUUUUAAAAAUACCUUCGGAAAUGAGUGAUGCAAACUCGUCUAGCGUAAGGAGCAUUUUCCAAGUAAUUUAAAAGAACUUGUACUGUGACUCCAUUUUAGGAGGUCUAGAAUGAGGAGGUUUCGUCAUGGUAAGCAUUAAAAAUACCUUCGGAAAUGAGUGAUGCAAACUUGUCAAGCAUAAGUGAGGAGCGUUUUUCAAGUCAUAUAAAAGAACUUGUACUGUGACUCCAUUUUAGGGGGGUCUAGAAUGAGGUCUUGUCAUGGUGAGUUUUAAAAAUACCUUCGGAAAUAUAUAAACUUGCCAACCUGCAGUAUCUUCAAUGUCACUUAAAAGAACUUGAACGUAACUCCAUUCUUCAAGAUAUAGAAUGACGAGUGAGUUUUGUCUUGCCAAUCUCCUGAGACUUAAACAUAAUUUCCUCAUCAGUCGAAAAGUAGAAGUGUUUCCUCGGUUAUCUAAACGGAAGCAGUGAUCAAAAAAGUUAUAGAUUUCUUGAUGGCCAGAAAAGUUAAUCUCGUUACUUCAGGAUACAAGAAAGAAAAUCAUAAUGGCAACCUGAGAGAACGCAUCAUCUGUUUGCAUCUCAAGUGAAUAAACAAAUAAUAAUGAUAAUGCAGCAUAAUACUGAGGUGUGUGUGUGUGCGUGCGUGUGUGCAACCACUAGCAAGGAAGGUCUGAAUGGUGACUCUACUAGGCAUCUCUGUGGACCCGGAUUUACCUUUUUUAUUGUUGUCGUAAAAUACACGUUGACGGGAAGAAGUCGUCUGUUUGGUGGCAUUGAACAGAAUAAGAUACAGCUGUGCCGCCAAUUAAAUUCAGUCACGUAACCUUUAAUCUGCUUUUUAUAUAAUUGUUGAAGGUACGAGUUGACAGGAGAGAAAUUUGUCCGUAUCUGCAGAUGGAAAAAAAAUUUGUCGCUAUCUGCAAAUGGAAAAAAAAUGCCCCUGUCUGCAAAUGGACAGAAUGCAUAAUUUUUUUAAUGUCCCACCAAAUACAUACAAUCACCGACCUUUCGAUUAAUCUUUUGUAUUGCCAUCACUAAUACACGAUGGUAGAAAAAAAAGUUGUCUGUCUGAUACUGGAUGAAAAUAAAAAACAAAAAUCUGCUGAGUAAAUACAAUCAGCGAGCCUGUAAGUCAUCUUUUGUGUCAUUAUCAGUAACACAUUGCCAGAAAAAAAGUAUGCAACGGGACUGAAAAAGAUCAAGUUCUGCCACGUAAAUACAAUCACCUACCCUUUUUAUAUCAGUCAUUAAUACCAGUUGUCAGAAAAUGUUGUCUCUCUGCAAUGGGACUGAAAAAGAUAAGGUUCUGCCACGUAAAUACAAUCAACUACCCUUUUUAUAUCAGUCAGAAGUACCAGUUGUCAGAAAAAAAGUUGUCUCUCUCUACAACGGAACAGAAAAAGAAAGUUCUGCCACGUAAAUACAAUCAUCUACCCUUUUUAUAUCAGUCAUUAAUACCAGUUGUCAGAAAAAAAGUUGUCUCUCUCUACAACGGAACAGAAAAAGAUAAAGUUCAGCUACGUAAAUGCAAUCAAUCUACCCUUUUUAUAUCAGUCAUUAAUACCAGUUGUCAGAAAAAGUUUUGUCUCUCUCUACAACGAGACCGAAAAAUAAAGUUCUGCCACAUAAAUCUACCCUUCCAGGCAUCUUUAAACCUAGACGAACCUUUGAUAUGAUAACUUUUGUCCUUGUUAGCGCUAGUUGGCAGCAAAAUGUCUGUGUACUGCUGGACGGAAUACUUAAAACGCUGCCAAGUUGAAUAUAAUAAUCACCUUUCGCUACUCUUACAUUUCCCGAGAACUGCUCAGCAUACAUCUUGACUAUUUUUGUAGUUUGUGAAUACACGUACAUACCAAUCUUCUGAGUGCAUAAUUAUACACGUGCGUAGGUGGUUUUGAAACUAAUAUACAUGCGCCGGAUUUUUUAGACAUCGUAUUAGUAUUUGUUAAUGGUUACGUGGCUGUAGUUUGGCUUUUGAAUUCCAUUUUUCAGGCGGAGUUAGUUAGAAAUGUUGGAUUUUCACAAGGUUAAGUAAAGGAAAUCAACAAAACUAACUAAGUACGCCUUGAAAAGUGGUACAGAAAAGUCAAAUCAGCCACAUUAUUGUUACUGAAGACUAAUACGACUUUUAUAAUAUCAAGCGAUGCUCCCAACUACUCUAGAAUGAAACUGCUACUCAUGAAAUCCAGUCCGUACUUGCUCACAACUUACCCCUUGCUAACUUUGAAUGUAGGGCGUGCGGGUCAGCAGACAUUGCCACGCAGCGUACGUAUGCUAAACCAGCUUGACCCACCCGUCGCCGGUGUCAACUGCGGUAACUUAGGUGCUUAAUAGAUCAAACAUACGAGGGUGACCAGAUAGACGAGCUUCAAAUCACCUCGACUCUUCCUUACUAAUGGUCUGAACAGCUUGACACCCUUUGUUCCGAGUCCUGAUUUCCAUUGUAUUCGCCCGUUCGAGAAUCAAUGGUCUGAACAGCUUGACGACUUUGUUCUGAGUCCUGAUUUCCAUUGUAUUCGCCCGUUCGAGAAUCAAUGGUCUGAACAGCUUGACGACUUUGUUCAGAGUCCUGAUUUCCAUUGUAUUCACCCGUUCGAGAAUCAUUGCUCCUUUCGUACAUCCGUUGUUCAUUUGUCUCGAUUUGUGGAAUAAGUAACCCAUCGAUGUGGUCUUUUUGUGUGCUCCUAGGAUGCUGUUCCCUCGUUAGAUGGUAGGGUUGGAUAUGUUGUGUUCAAACCGAAGUCAGAUCAGAUAUAGUCGACUGGUCUAGUUGUGUUUGUUGUCAGUACUUCUGGAAUAUCUUACUGAUUUGCCGUGUUUUUCUUGAUUGCCGUCUCCCAGUUACUAUUAUGUGUUGUCGGUGAUUUUUUUUACAUUUCUACCUUUGAAUGUAUACCUGUAAUUGAUUUUGAUUGACUAAGAUUACAACUACCGUGAUCUUUGCUGGUGCCAAGAUCAUUUACUACAAAAAAAACGAGAAAUUUCAGUACGUAUAUACACAAAAAAAUAAGUGAUUGAGAGAUGGUCGAAGAAUUGGAAGGCAUGCAGUGAUCCUCUUUUGUUUUUUUGUGACUUGACUGACAGAUGUGCAUACCAUGGAAUGUACCGGUCAGGUCAGGUCAGGUCAGGGGAAGAGUGACCUUUACUGAGCUUUACUAAGUGGUAGGUCAGGUCAUCAGAGAAAAUAAAACGAUACCAGGUGUGAAAAAAAAGAUUGAAUGUGUCUUCUGAUUCAAACACUAUUAGGAAAGAAUGAAAAC